UAAGGAAUAUUGGUCAAUGGACGCAAGUCUGAACCAGCCAUGCCGCGUGAAGGAUGAAGGUCCUCUGGAUUGUAAACUUCUUUUAUCUGGGACGAAAACGGGAUUUUUACCUCAAUUGACGGUACCAGAGGAAUAAGCACCGGCUAACUCCGUGCCAGCAGCCGCGGUAAUACGAAGGGUGCAAGCGUUACUCGGAAUUACUGGGCGUAAAGCGUGCGUAGGUGGUUGUUUAAGUCUGAUGUGAAAGCCCUGGGCUCAACCUGGGAAUGGCAUUGGAAACUGGGCAGCUAGAGUGCGGUAGAGGGUAGUGGAAUUCCCGGUGUAGCAGUGAAAUGCGUAGAGAUCGGGAGGCACAUCUGUGGCGAAGGCGACUGCCUGGACCAGCACUGACACUGAGGCACGAAAGCGUGGGGAGCAAACA
rnacentral:rRNA from 1 species